CAGAGCCAAGGGAUAUCCAAACAAAUGUUUGAAAAAGGCUUAUCAUCGAGCCCUUUUAACUGACCAAGAAGACUUGAUAAAAGAUGUAUUACCUUUCCCAACAAAAAAUACUUCAAAUUGUAAACAUCUAAGAGUUAUUGCUACCUACGAUGCGGGCUGGGAACAAGUUAAAACUAUACUAAAUAGAUACUGGCCUUUACUUAAACAAGAU